rnacentral:rRNA from 1 species
ACGGGAGGCAGCAGUAGGGAAUAUUGCACAAUGGGGGGAACCCUGAUGCAGCAACGCCACGUGUGGGAAGAAGCAUUUCGGUGUGUAAACCACUGUCGUGAGGGGAUAAUGCUUGGUCUCGGCCAAGUUGAAUGUACCUCGAAAGGAAGCACCGGCAAACUUCGUCCCAGCAGCCGCGGUAAUACGAGGGGUGCAAGCGUUGUUCGGAAUCACUGGUCGGAAAGGGAGCGUAGGCGGAGACGCAAGCAGUCUGUACAAUACCGGGGCCCAACCCCGGACCUGCAGACUGGACUGUGUCUCUUGGAUAGGUCAGGGGCAGGCGGAAUUCCUGGUGUAGCGGUGGAAUGCGUAGAGAUCAGGAAGAACACCGAUGGCGAAGGCAGCCUGCUGGGGACUCAUCGACGCUGAGGCUCGAAAGUGCGGGUAGCAAACAGGAUUAGAUACCCUGGUA